CCUACGGGGGGCAGCAGUGAGGAAUAUUGGUCAAUGGGCGGAAGCCUGAACCAGCCAAGUAGCGUGCGGGAUGAAGGCCCUACGGGUCGUAAACCGCUUUUGCACGGGGAUAACACCCUCCACUUGUGGAGGUCUGCAGGUACCGUGCGAAUAAGGGCCGGCUAAUUCCGUGCCAGCAGCCGCGGUAAUACGGAAGGCCCGAGCGUUAUCCGGAUUCAUUGGGCUUAAAGGGAGCGUAGGGGGGCGUUCAAGUCAGCUGUAAAAGCGCGCGGCUCAACCGAGCCCCGAAGUUGAAACUGGAAGUCUUGAGUACACAAGAGGUAGGCGGAAUUCGUGGUGUAGCGGUGAAAUGCAUAGAUAUCACGAGGAACACCGAUUGCGAAGGCAGCCUGCCGGGGUGCGACUGACGCUGAGGCUCGAAGGUGCGGGUAUCAAACAGGAUUAGAUACCCGAGUAGUC
rnacentral:rRNA from 1 species